GACGAACGCUAGCUACAGGCUUAACACAUGCAAGUCGAGGGACCGGCGCUCGGGUGAGUAACACGUAUACAACCUGCCCUUUACUCGGGGAUAGCCUUUCGAAAGAACGAAUAAUACCCGACCUACAGGAUGGGGAUGAGUUCAAUUAGGUUGUGGGUGAGGUACCGGCCCACCAAGCCUUCGAUGGAUAGGGGUGAGGAGAGGAAGGGCACCAAGAUGUGAACUGCGACACGGUCCAAACUGGGACGGAGGGCAGCAGUGAGGAAUAUUGGUCAAGGGGUGCUAGUCUGAACCAGCCAAGUAUCGGGAAGGAUGAAGGCGUAUUGGUCUUAAAUUUGGUUGAUAUAAGAAUAGGUAUCAGAUGAAUAAGGAUCGGCUAACUCCGUGCCAGCAGCCGCGGUAAUAC
rnacentral:rRNA from 1 species